CCUGCUUUAUGGCGAAGGGCCAGGGCCCCACACCUUCCGCCUGACAGCCAGCCAAGCUCUUCAGUCCCCCGCCCUCCACCUGCCAGGGAGGCUCCGGGCGUUGUACCUGCCACCACGGGGUAGGUCUGACACAUAUACUCACAGAAAUGAGUUAUUUAAAGAAGACGGUCCAGAUUCCACAGUCCAAAAAAAAAAGAGGUUUGCCCUGCUUCUGAAGGAGUCAGGGUAUGAAUGCAGAGGUCUUCCUGUUGGCUCACAUAUCAGAUCUUCAACGUCAACAUUAAAUGCGAGUGAUGCUUCCCCCUCUGUGAAUGUGGCUUUGGGUAUGGCUAAUCCACACCCUGCACUCUGGCCUUCAGAAGCCCAGGGAGAGAAGCCUCCCAGAAGCAACCUUCCAGAACCUUCUCCAUCCUCCCACCGACCUCCCCAGCCCCUGUCCUCUCUUUGAAUCUCGUUGUCAAGUUCUUCCCGCAGACACCUGGCUCCUUGAGGGGAGGUGCAGCUUUCAUCUGACCAUGCAGGCGUGCUUUGCAGUGGGUAGAGCAGUGCUUUCCUCCUCCCAGCUGCACACUGGAAUCACCUGGAGAGUCCAGAAACUUCCCGCCUCAGUGAAAGAACAUCAGUGUAUCAGCACAGCAAAUAUUCCAAAUGCCAGGCUGGAUUCCCUCCAAUUACCAGGACCUCCAGGCUUCUCCUCCUUUCAAGAACUUUCUGACCCUGGAUCCAGUCUAAAUGUUGGUUAUAAACUCACCUGACAUCCACAGGGCCCUUCCAAAAUACUGUCAAGGCUGACUGCUGGUGCCUGGAACCUGCACACCCUCCUGGGACUCUGCAUCUCUGCUGGGGCUGGUUUCUCCUCUGAGCCACCUUAAGGAAUCCCACCCUGACCCGGUCAGAGCUCACCAUGCCUCCCUCUCCUACUUGCUCAGCAUUUUGUGUCUAUCUAGACUGAAGCCUUUGCUUUCUCUCUGUGAUUAUGGUGAAAGUUCAGUUUGCUUUCCUAUCUCUAGAAUGUCAGCACGAAGGCAGAGGCAUGGUCUCCUGAGUUCCAUAACCCCAAAGCCUAACUCCCUGCCUGCCACACUGAGGGGCUUAGUAGACAUUGACUUACUAAAUUGAAUAGUUGAGUAAUAAUGCUCUUUGAAAUAAUUUGGAGUUAGAUCUUGAGCCUUGUGUGGCCAGAGGAUGGGUGAGGACACAUCAUAAAAACUAAAGGUAACUGAGCAUGCCAGUGGUUGGGGUGAGAAAUUUGCAUGGAGCACUCCAGACACAGAGGCAGCAAAACCCAAGUGCUGGGAAGUCAGAGUGAGAGAGUGAAGGGGCAGUGAGUGCUUCUUUAGGAGCUGGAUCAAAACCUAAGAUGAUCUGGCCACAUGGUGCAGACUGAGCACACACUUGGGAGAGAAAUGGGCCAGGAGGAGAGGAGAGAGGUUCACCACAGGACAGUGGAUGACUGGGAAUAGAAGCCCUCCCCAUGGUGGACCAAGAAGUCUGUGAAGCUGAGAGAAAGACAAAAGAAAUCACGACUUCUGUAGGUAGCUGGGAUGGAAACCUCAGGGGUGACAGGGUCUUUAAAGGAAAUCUCAAGGAAGGCAUCAUGUUCUGGGUGUGCUCCAGGGAUGCUGAGUAAGAAAAGACCAGCCUUUCUGUGUGUGUCUUUACUCUGCCACAAGGCACCUGGGCUCCUAAAUGACCAAUACACAUGUGCUAUACUGGUGCCAAGAAAGAAGGGUGUUUUGUAGGAAAGUCAAGGUGAGAGGAGGUGCCCAGGACUUGGCUCCUUUCUUUGAAGGGUGACGGUGUAAAUUCUCCAUGCUGGGGAUCCUACUGAUGGAUGGAGGCAUGUCGAUCUCAUCAUUUCACAGAGUGGGGAGCUAUGGCCACAACGUGCCUAUCACACAAGUCCAGCCUCACGUCAGCUGGACACCAGCUGUUCUGACACUUGUCAGCACAUGGGGCACCCGGAAGUUCAUGGUGUUCUGCAAAGAACGCCACAAAACAGUGAGCUCAACUUCUUGAAAGUCAUAAUGUGUUGCUAAGUCCGAUCCCAGAUCCUAAAAAUAAUAUGAGGUAGUGGCCAUUGAACAGAAAAAAUUUACAUCUUAAACUUGAAGAUAAGUACAAGUGUACCUUUUUCUACCACUGUUGUUCAGUUUUAUUAUAUUGACAAGCACCUCUGCCCACCCUGUGGGGUAAAACUGUUUGAAAGUGUUUAUGAAAGUUUUAUAUAAAUAUUGGUUGAUCAAAUGUACAAAAUAUGCAUGAUGGCACCAUAUUGUGUAUAAUAGUGACAAAUACAGUCUAUGUGGGUGGAGAAACA
rnacentral:lncRNA from 1 species